rnacentral:rRNA from 1 species
GGAAUUUUCCGCAAUGGGCGCAAGCCUGACGGAGCAACGCCGCGUGAGGGAUGAAGGCCUCUGGGCUGUAAACCUCUUUUAUCAAGGAAGAAGAUCUGACGGUACUUGAUGAAUAAGCCACGGCUAAUUCCGUGCCAGCAGCCGCGGUAAUACGGGAGUGGCAAGCGUUAUCCGGAAUUAUUGGGCGUAAAGCGUCCGCAGGCGGUUUUACAAGUCUGUCGUUAAAACGUGGAGCUCAACUCCAUUUCGGCGAUGGAAACUGUAAGACUAGAGUGUGGUAGGGGCAGAGGGAAUUCCCGGUGUAGCGGUGAAAUGCGUAGAUAUCGGGAAGAACACCAGUGGCGAAGGCGCUCUGCUGGGCCAUAACUGACGCUCAUGGACGAAAGCCAGGGGAGCGAAAGGGAUUAGAUACCCCUGUAGUCCUGGCCGUAAACGAUGAACACUAGGUGUCGGGGGAAUCGAUCCCCUCGGUGUCGUAGCCAACGCGUUAAGUGUUCCGCCUGGGGAGUACGCACGCAAGUGUGAAACUCAAAUGAAUUGACGG